CUACGGGCGGCUGCAGUGAGGAAUAUUGCACAAUGGGGGAAACCCUGAUGCAGCAACGCCGCGUGGAGGAUGACGCAUUUCGGUGUGUAAACUCCUUUUAUAUGAGAAGAAAUUUGACGGUAUCAUAUGAAUAAGCACCGGCUAACUCCGUGCCAGCAGCCGCGGUAAUACGGAGGGUGCAAGCGUUACUCGGAAUCACUGGGCGUAAAGGACGCGUAGGCGGUUUAAUAAGUCAGAAGUGAAAUCCUACAGCUCAACUGUAGAACUGCUUUUGAAACUGUUAAACUAGAGUUCGGGAGAGGCAGAUGGAAUUUCUGGUGUAGGGGUAAAAUCCGUAGAGAUCAGAAGGAAUACCGAAAGCGAAGGCGAUCUGCUGGAACGAUACUGACGCUGAGGCGUGAAAGCGUGGGGAGCAAACAGGAUUAGAUACCCGUGUAGUC
rnacentral:rRNA from 1 species